CAGAUUCGGUGCGCUGCGUUUGGUGUUGGCGCUCUGGAUACGCUGUUUCCUAACUCGGCUGCGGAAAUCCAUCCCUCGCGUCACGCCUGAAGACUGAGACACAAAGGGCAAUACAUCAGACUAAGCGGAGGCCUUAAAGCAGCCUACGAGACAAUGUACACGUACCUGAGUAAAGUGUCGAUGCAGACGAGUGAAGGCAGCCGUCGCUAACAGGCGGCGCCGUCCCCCACCCCCACGGUAGCCGCGUCCGAGCAGACCGCGGCUGCCUCGCCGGCGUCUUCGGC